AGAAAAAUUUCAAAGGCAAAAGGAGAGCACCCUCAGAAACCCGUUUUCCAUCUUCCCUUCUUCCCUUCCUUCCUCUCUCCUCUCUUCUCCUUUCUUUUAAGAAAGGGUCUAAUCUGUCCCAGGCUGGCCUCAAGCUUACUGCAAAGUGGAGGAUGAUCCAGAACGGCUGUUCCUUGUGUCCCUAUCUCCUCACUAAUGGGAUUACAGACAUGUACGCCAAUGGUUUUGUUCAUGUGUGAGAGAGACAUACAAUGUGUGUACAGGGCUCGAGGAUAACUGGCGAGGAGCGUGCAGCCUGUAAGAGCCAAAGGCAGGGAAUGAUUUCUGGAACACAGUCCAAGAAUGGAGUCAUGUGACAGAUGUGAGAGUGGGUGAACCAGAUCUGAGGACCUGAGAUCACGAGAAUGGUCCCAAUCCUUGCUGCAGGCUGCGUUGGUGAGCUAGGCACUGCUGAAGAGCUUGUCUGGGUAGUGACCAUGAGAGAACGCUGGUAGACUGACGAACCCAGCUACCACCCAGGUCCAGAACCAGGACUGUGAGUUGGCCCAUCCCAACAUCCACCAAAUCUAUAAACUGCUGGAACAUGAGAAGGGAAAGAACCUACAGAUACAAAACAGCAGGAUCUCCAUGACAUAGGUCCCCGGUGAGAGCCCUUUAUCGGUGGCACAGCAGAAACCAGAGACCCCAAAGGCAACAAACACUUGCAAGUAAAGAUGAAUGGACAAAAGAGUAAACUGUGUGACUCAAUAGGCCACACUACAGCUUUGCCUACUUUUGUUUGUUGAUUUAGUUUUUCUUUUAAAUUUUGUUUUGAUUUGGGGGGAGGUUGCAAGGGCAGAGGAUGGAUGCAAGGGGACAGGGAGAUAAGUGGAAUCGGAAUGCAUGAUGUGAAAUCAACAAAGAAUAAAUAAAGUUAAAAAUAAUUACCAUGAAUUACAACCACAUGCACACUGUCAUAUAUAUGGUCAUUAAAUUUUAGUGACUUAUCUUCAUU